ACUUGUUUUCAGAGCUUUUGCUGGUGCAGACGCCGGCGCCGGCAAAGACUUUAAUUUCUGUAUCAAGUAUAUAUCUCGGCACGGGAAAGUGAUAAACGCUAAGAACUGAAAGCUCGGCCGCGAGCAGAGCCGGGAUGCCAAGCGCCUAAGGGACCUGGCGAGGGAUCGCGGGGGGUUCGGAGCUCUGCGGGCAAUGAACGCUUCGGACGUCAGCCGCUUCUCUUGCGGGGGCCCGAGCACGACUCCGAGGACCCCUCCUUUGGGCAGCUGAGGCAUGUCAAGGCCGCUUCGGGAUGCGAGAAGAUAAGAGGCAUCAUCUACGACAGAAACCCUCAGACCCCCAGCCAACUCACCAUGAUAAGGAGCCGCACAGCUCCCGCCGGAAGACGCUCUGGGAGCUGGGGUUUUCCUAGAGCGGAAGGGGUGGGGCCUCGGAAGCCGAUUGGCCGAGAGAGACCCGGGGGCGGAAGUGCGUGCGCCGACUCUCGUUUCCGCCCGCUCCCAGGCUACCCCUGCGUGCCAUAGAGGCGAAGGCAGCAGCUAGAGCGGCCGCGCCCAGGCGCUUCCGGGGUACGUAGGUGGAGCCGAGGGAGCUGAAGACCCAGUCUUCAGGGAGCGCCUAGGUUCUCUUUGUAACGUUAGGAAAAAUCUCACUUAGUGCUGAAGCGCUUUUACUUGUGGGGUAGAAUUUUUUUUUGCAGUGCUUUGUGAAAUAGUAUUCCCGUUUGAGGAACCAGGCCGAAUAAGAAACUUGCCCAGAGGCGUAUACAUCCGGUUCUCCGUUAAUAGCCGAAUUGGAACUCAGACCAGUGUAGACAGUACUGUGUUCUGUUUCCCAAAGCGCUGAUUUCUCGUGAAAUUAAUUUUAGGGAACUAAUAUUGUAGAACACGGGAAAUAAAAAGAUUCUGUGUAGAAUACGCAGCGCGUGUGUGCAUCAGGCACUAGUCAGGGAGACGAAACAAGGAGGGAGGGGGAAUAAGUGUUUACAGUAUGGAGAGUGUCGUGUAGACAAUAGAGUGACUGGGUCGCUGAUUUAUAGUAGUCCGAGAAAGCUGCUCUAAGGAAGUGAAAUGGGACUUCUGAGUGACCAGUCUUUUUGCGAAGAUCAUUCCAGGCGGGAUAGACCAUCCAAAUAAAACAAGCAGUAGGUGUCCGAGGGUCCGAAAGAAGGCAGUGUCUGGAGCCUUGGGCUUGAGGGCAAGAAGCCAAGAGAUCUAAACGGUAAAUGGGCAGACCGAGCAGGAAUUUCUAAUUUAGGGGUAAGGAGGCUGGUUCGGUUUUUGUUUUGCCUUCUAAGGGAUACGGGAAGCCCACGGAGCGUUUUAAGGAGGCGGUGAGCUUUACGCGGUGGCUGGAGAACGGGUCGUCGCUGGGCAGGAAUUGCCAACCAAGCACUCCCAUGCAUUCCAUUUAUAGGUACAAGUAGUCUUCCCAAUGGACUUCCACAGGAAAUGCUAUGGUCUUAACAAAGCUUGAGACAGAGUGAAGAAUACUUGCAGAUGAGGAGGACCCUGAUCAUGAUCUGAGAUGAAGGCAGACGCUUAAUGGACUGAGCCACCCAGAUGCCCUGGAAUUGCUUUUAUAAGGACAAAAAUAAAUGCUGAGAAUCUCACAAAGUAGAACAUCAAGGGAUUAACUUGUUACAAGAGUAAAAUCCUCAAGUUUUCUAUGAUUUGAUAGAAAAAUGACUUAAUGACUAUGUACAAUGUUUUUUUGUCCAUUACCAAAGAACAUAAGGGAUUGUAAUUUAAUAUGCUUGUAUAUUUUGAAAUGAAGCAAAGUUAACAUUUUCUAUCUUCUAAUCAUAUCAACUACAAAAAUCCAGACAAAACCUAUCUUACAAUAUAGAGAACCAGAGCAAAGAAAUGAUAAUUAUAAAAUAAUAUACCUCACUGGCAGACAUAUUCUUUACUUGUUCUGGUUUCAGUUCUGUAAAAUAUAAGACAAUCACUUAAAAAAAAAUUUCUAAGUUUAAGUUACUGAAGCACAAAACCAAGUACAAUGAUCUAAAAGUACAAGUUCAAUAUAAAUUAUUUGUAUUAAAAGGAAGACACAUUAAUAUUAAGAGCACAAUUUAUAAAUGCUUAAUAAUAGUCCUUUUUAGGAGUAACUGGGAGGCAUUCAAUUUCUUUGCAUAUUGCUCAAGAACAAUAAAAUUUACAAAGUUUAAGAGUGAACUUAAAAGAAUGCAGCUUGUUCUUUACAAAGGUGUUUUGAUUUUUUUUUUAAACCCAGUAACUUUUGUUUGCUUCAGAAUAGUUAAAAUUUUCUGGAAAAAAGGCAAAUGGUUUAUAUAUUAGUGAUUGGUUGAGUCCACUUUCUGAACAAGAUUUCAUGGUCUGGCAGCAAGUUUGACUAGAAUGCUUUGCCCAUGUUCUCAAGGUUACACUUCUUAUUCUCCAAACCAGCAAUUCUGAGUCAGUACACUGUUUCAUUGUGGGAGAUAAGUUCUAGAAGUUUCAUGUUUCAUGUUCCUUUUUAUUGUCACAGCCAGCAAUCUGCGUGCAUACCUGAGAGCAUCAUUUACCCACUCCCCAUACUGGCUGUGGAAAAGCAGUUGAGAAUAUCUAAAGUGGUAUCAUAGUGGUAUUUCACAAUCAGCAAAUAACUCUGAAUCAAAUCAAAGCAAUUCCUCAAAAGAUAACAUAUAAGAAUACAAAUAAAAGCUUCCCUUUAGACACUUUUAAUUUCAAGCGAUAUCAGAAUAUUGAAGUGAGAAGAGCCAAAAAAACAGAUAAGAACAUUUCCCCUUUAUUUUUCUUUUUUGCUUGCUUAAAAAUGUUUUAUUUUUUUUAUUUUUAUUUUCUGCUGGUUACCUACUAUCAAGAAGUGAAACAUGGCAGAUGGUAAUUUAUCGUGGUAAGCAUUGUUUAAUGUACAGAGUUUUCUACAUUAUGUUGUACACCUGAAAUGAAUAUAACGUAUGUGAACUAUAUUUCAAUAACAAAGAUUUUUUAAUAAAAAUAAAAAACUGAAAACUGUUGUUUUUAAUAGGGGUCAUGGUCUACUACUGACCCGUGGACUGUGAGCUAAGAUGGUUUCGCAUUUUUGUUUGUAAAAACAAACAAAGAAACAGAAGAAUAUGCAACGGAGAGCCUAUGUGGCCCCUAGGCCUAAAAUAUUUAUCAGGCCCUUUACUCUCUCAGUCUCUAGAGUUGCUGACUCUAACUCUAGAAACUAUUUUGUAAUAAGUUUUCUAACAGCUUCAAUGCUUUCUUAUUAAAACAAAAACAAACCUCUCAAUAGGGACUUCUUAAGCUUCUAAAGUGGUCUAAUAAAUAGGCUCUAUACACAUACCUCGGAUAGGACCCAAUGCUGCAUCUUUUGCCAAAGCUGUUAGAUCACUUCCUGAAUACCCAUCGGUCAUUCUGAGAAUGGGAAGGAAGAAAGAGUAAAUUAUUUUCAUCUUUGCAGAUUUAAAAUCUCCAUGUAAAAAGAGGGUAAAAUCUAGUUUGCCUCUAUCAUCAAGCAGAGAGCUAUGUCAUUUGAUUUUAAGGACACAGAAAGGCCCACUUGCUGAAAACAAACAAAAUAGUCUAUGGCAGUCCUCAGAAUGCCUGAAAUUUUCAUUAUGAGAACCAUUUCUUUAGAUUAAGGCAUAUUACAUCUCCAGGAGGCUCCAUUAAAUUUUAAAUACAUCCCUUGGAAAAGAUAACACCUAUAAGCCAUUGCUAGCUAACUGACACAUAACCAUAAUUAUUGCUCUGUAAAUUAAUAUUUCUUUAUCUUGACAAAAAACAUUGUCAAUCAAGGUAGAUUCUUUUUUUAAUUUUAAAUUUUUAAAAAUUUUUUUCAAGGACACUCUAUGCCUAACGUGAGGCCCAAACUCACAACCCUGAGAUCAAGAGUCACGUGUUCUACCAACUGAGCCAGUCAGGUCCCCAAGGUACAUUUCUUUAAACAUAGGACAGAUAGGGUAAAGGAAGAGUCUGGUGUAGUCUGGUGUAGAAGACAUUGGCAAAAAAGGAACACCUGAAUGGGAUGCCACAGUGGAGAGUCCUGGGCAGCCAAGAGAUUAUCAAGGGGAACUAAAAACUGGGGGGGGAGGGGACACAAAAAGGAAGAAGAAAAUAAAACAGGAAAAGAAAGCAUUUACUUAGCACAUACUAUGUUAUAUAACUAUUGAGAUUAAACAUUAUUAGCUGCAUUCUUUAUUGCAAUGACAGAGAAGAACCUCAAUAUUUCCAAGUAUUGAAUUUACUCUUUUCUCAUAGGUAUCUGGAACUCAGGGUUUUUACUAAAAUUACUAACACUUCACAUACUUCUUGAGUAUUUAAAUUACUUUAUGAGAUUUUUAAUGACUAAAAUUCAAGUACACCUCCUAUAGUUUCUACUUAAGUAUACCACUCAUAAGAAAAGCUGAAGAUGCAAAAGUUAAAAAAAAUUAUGUGUAAUACUAGAGAACAAGUUUGUAUAAAAAUAUCCGUGGGGUGCCGUGUAGCUCAGUUGGUUAAACAUCUGCCUUUGGCUCAGGUCACGAUCCCAGGGUCCUGGGAUCGAGCCCUGUAUUGGACUCCCUGCUCAGUGGGGAGCCUGCUUCUCCUUCUCCCUCUGCCUGC